UACGUAGGCAGCGAGCGUUGUUCGGAGUUACUGGGCGUAAAGGGUGCGUAGGCGGUUGUUUAAGUUUGGUGUGAAAUCUCCCGGCUCAACUGGGAGGGUGCGCCGAAUACUGAAUGACUAGAGUGCGGGAGAGGAUAGUGGAAUUCCUGGUGUAGCGGUGAAAUGCGUAGAUAUCAGGAGGAACACCGGUGGUGUAGACGGCUUUCUGGACCGUAACUGACGCUGAGACACGAAAGCGUGGGUAGCAAACAGG
rnacentral:rRNA from 1 species